ensembl:lncRNA
CGGGGUGGUUCUGAGAAUGUUUUGCUAUGGUUCCAGAGAGGUUCUGAGAAUGUUUUACUAUGGUUCCAGGGAGGUUCUGAGAACGUUUUACUAUGGUUCCAGGGAGGUUCUGAGAAUGUUUUACUAUGGUUCCAGGGAGGUUCUGAGAAUGUUUUACUAUGGUUCCAUAGAGGUUCUGAGAAUGUUUUACUAUGGUUCCAUAGAGGUUCUGAGAAUGUUUUACUAUGGUUCCAGAGAGGUUCUGAGAAUGUUUUACUAUGGUUCCGGGGUGGUUCUGAGAAUGUUUUGCUAUGGUUCCAGAGAGGUUCUGAGAAUGUUUUACUAUGGUUCCAGGGAGGUUCUGAGAAUGUUUUACUAUGGUUCCGGGGAGGUUCUGAGAAUGUUUUCCUGGGAGGUUUUAUUCACGGUCUGAGAACAGAA